AUUGAACGCUGGCGGCAUGCUUUACACAUGCAAGUCGAACGGUAACAGGGAGCUUGCUCCGCUGACGAGUGGCGAACGGGUGAGUAAUGCGUCGGAACGUGCCGAGUAGUGGGGGAUAACGCAGCGAAAGUUGUGCUAAUACCGCAUACGUACUGAGGUAGAAAGUGGGGGACCUGCGGGCCUCACGCUAUUCGAGCGGCCGAAGUCUGAUUAGCUAGUAGGUGAGGUAAAGGCUCACCUAGGCGACGAUCAGUAGCGGGUCUGAGAGGAUGAUCCGCCACGCUGGGACUGAGACACGGCCCAGACUCCUACGGGUGGCAGCAGUGGGGAAUUUUGGACAAGGGGCGAAAGCCUGAUCCAGCCAUGCCGCGUGUCUGAAGAAGGCCUUCGGGUUGUAAAGGACUUUUGUCGGGGGGAAAUCCCCAGCGCUAAUACCGCUGGGGGAUGACAGUUCCUGAAGAAUAAGCACCGGCUAACUACGUGCCAGCCGCCGCCGUAACAC
rnacentral:rRNA from 1 species